rnacentral:rRNA from 1 species
CACGUAGGGUGCAAGCGUUGUCCGGAAUUAUUGGGCGUAAAGAGCUUGUAGGCGGUUUGUCGCGUCUGCUGUGAAAUUUCGGGGCUCAACCCCGAACUUGCAGUGGGUACGGGCAGACUAGAGUGUGGUAGGGGAGACUGGAAUUCCUGGUGCAGCGGUGAAAUGCGCAGAUAUCAGGAAGAACACCCGUGGCGAAGGCGGCUCUCUGGUACGUGACUGACGCUGAGACGCGAAAGCGUGGGGAGCGAACAGG